rnacentral:rRNA from 1 species
GACGAACGCUGGCGGCGUGCUUAACACAUGCAAGUCGAACGGAAAGGCCCUGCUUUUGUGGGGUGCUCGAGUGGCGAACGGGUGAGUAACACGUGAGUAACCUGCCCUUGACUUUGGGAUAACUUCAGGAAACUGGGGCUACUACCGGAUAGGAGCUCCUGCUGCAUGGUGGGGGUUGGAAAGUUUCGGCGGUUGGGGAUGGACUCGCGGCUUAUCAGCUUGUUGGUGGGGUAGUGGCUUACCAAGGCUUUGACGGGUAGCCGGCCUGAGAGGGUGACCGGCCACAUUGGGACUGAGGUACGGCCCAGACUCCUACGGGAGGCAGCAGUGGGGAAUAUUGCACAAUGGGCGGAAGCCUGAUGCAGCAACGCCGCGUGCGGGAUGACGGCCUUCGGGUUGUAAACCGCUUUCGCCUGUGACGAAGCGUGAGUGACGGUAAUGGGUAAAGAAGCACCGGCUAACUACGUG